rnacentral:tRNA from 1 species
GUCACGAUAGCUCAAGUGGUAGAGUAGCGGCGUGUCAAGCCGAAGAUCGUGGGUUCGAAUCCCGCUCGUGCCA